rnacentral:rRNA from 1 species
CCUACGGGGGGCAGCAGUAGGGAAUCUUUCACAAUGGGCGAAAGCCUGAUGGAGCAACGCCGCGUGCAGGAUGAAGGCCUUCGGGUUGUAAACUGCUUUUAUAAGCGAGAAAUAUGAUGGUAACUUAUGAAUCAGGAUCGGCUAACUACGUUCCAGCAGCCGCGGUCAUACGUAGGAUCCGAGCAUUAUCCGGAGUGACUGGGUGUAAAGAGUUGCGUAGGUGGCAUAAUAAGUAGCUAGUGAAAUCUGGUGGCUCAACCAUUCAGACUAUUAGCUAAACUGUUAAGCUCGAGACCGUUAGGGGUAACUGGAAUUUCUAGUGUAGGAGUGAAAUCCGUAGAUAUUAGAAGGAACACCAAUAGCGUAGGCAGGUUGCUGGGACGGGUCUGACACUAAGGCACGAAAGCGUAGGGAGCAAACGGGAUUAGAUACCCCGGUAGUC